rnacentral:rRNA from 1 species
AUACGGAGGACGCGAGCGUUAUCCGGAUUCAUUGGGUUUAAAGGGUGCGCAGGCGGCCGUGCAAGUCAGCGGUGAAAGCCCGGGGCUCAACCCCGGAAGUGCCGUUGAUACUGCAUGGCUGGAAUGCGGUCGAGGCGGGCGGGACGUGGCGGGUAGCGGUGAAAUGAGUAGAUAUGCCACAGAAAGCCGAUAGCGGAGGCAGCUCGCCAGGCCUGCAUUGACGCUCGGGCACGAAAGCGUGGGGAUCGAACAGGAUUAGAUACCCUGGUAGUCCACGCCGUAAACGAUCGGCGCUCGUCGUCGGCGGCAGACAGUCGGCGGCCAAGCGAAAGCGAUAAGCGCCCCACCUGGGGAGUACGGUCGCAAGGCUGAAACUUAAAGGAAUUGACGGGG